UCUCCGUUGGUGAACCAGCGGAGGGAUCAUUACCGAGUUUACAACUCCCAAACCCCUAUGUGAACGAUACCAAACUGUUGCCUCGGCGGGGUCACGCCCCGGGUGCGUCGCAGCCCCGGAACCAGGCGCCCGCCGGAGGGACCAACCAAACUCUUUCUGUAGUCCCCUCGCGGACGUUAUUUUUACAGCUCUGAGCAAAAAUUCAAAAUGAAUCAAAACUUCCAACAACGGAUCUCUUGGUUCUG
rnacentral:misc_RNA from 1 species